rnacentral:snRNA from 1 species
ACCUUAUCUCAACUGGCUUUAACCGAGGCUCCGCUACAGCGCAAACACGUAUAAGAUCAUGUGUAUUAUCUGCUCUUCGCAAUGUAAUUUCUGCAAUGUUCUUCAAACCGAGACUAAUGAAAUCACCUGUAUUUUUCCCUUAAGGGAGGGUCUUGCUCAACACUCUCCACGAGUCAGCCUCGUAUUGCUUUACCUCGAGGAUCGGCCCAUUAUUU